GUAGCAUGUGUUGGACUUCUAAGUUCACUAUUGAGAAGUUCGUCGUGCUUCUUUCUCAAUGCUGAUUCUCUCUGCCAAGUGCAAACAAACACCACACAAAUUAAGAGAAGAAGAGACCCUGCUUUUCAUCUUGCACAAUGGAAUUCAAGUCAAAGGAAAUAGGCUGUAGAAACAAUACCAUGAUCCGGAUACGCUGGCGGUCUUCUUCAUUAAGUACAAACUGCAACUUCAUAUGCACAUGCCCGCCUCCUUCAAAGGGAAAUAUGUCAUCCCAAACGCCUUUCUCAAUCACCAACCUGGUUUCAACAACUGCCAUUAAACACGAUCAACACUCAUCAGCCUCACAGCUUCAGUACUUAGAGAUGGAAGCAAAAUGGGAAAGAAUUGAGCAAAACCUAUAUGUGAUAUUUCUUUUCCUUGAGCAUCCUGAAGUGUAACUAUCAAAUUGUUGCGAAGAGUUGUUAAUGGA